GUGCCAGCCGCCGCGGUAAUACGGAGGAUGCAAGCGUUAUCCGGAAUUAUUGGGCGUAAAGCGUCCGCAGGUGGCAAUUCAAGUCGGCUGUCAAAGACCGUAGCUUAACUACGGAAAGGCGGUGGAAACUGAAUAGCUAGAGGCCGGUAGGGGUAGCAGGAAUUCCCAGUGUAGCGGUGAAAUGCGUAGAGAUUGGGAAGAACAUCGGUGGCGAAAGCGUGCUACUGGACCGGACCUGACACUGAGGGACGAAAGCUAGGGGAGCGAAAGGGAUUAGAUACCCCGGUAGUCC
rnacentral:rRNA from 1 species